rnacentral:rRNA from 1 species
AUACGGGGGGGGCUAGCGUUGUUCGGAUUUAUUGGGCGUAAAGGGCGCGUAGGCGGUUCGGUAAGUCAACCGUGAAAUCCCUCGGCUCAACCGAGGAACUGCGAUUGAUACUGCCGGGCUUGAGUCCCGGAGAGGAUGGCGGAAUUCCCAGUGUAGCGGUGAAAUGCGUAGAUACUGGGAGGAACACCGGUGGCGAAGGCGGCCUUCUGGGCCCAUCCUGACGCUGAGGCGCGAAAGCGUGGGGAGCAAACCGGAUUAGAAACCCCAGUAGUCC